AUUGAACGCUGGCGGAAUGCUUUACACAUGCAAGUCGAACGGCAGCAUAGAGAGCUUGCUCUCUGAUGGCGAGUGGCGAACGGGUGAGUAAUAUAUCGGAACGUGCCUAGUAAUGGGGAAUAACUAGCUGAAAGGUUAGCUAAUGCCGCAUACGACCUACGGGUGAAAGCAGGGGAUCUUCGGACCUUGCGUUAUUAGAGCGGCCGAUAUCUGAUUAGCUUGUUGGUGGGGUAAUGGCCUACCAAGGCGACGAUCAGUAGCUGGUCUGAGAGGACGAUCAGCCACACUGGAACUGAGACACGGUCCAGACUCCUACGGGAGGCAGCAGUGGGGAAUUUUGGACAAUGGGGGCAACCCUGAUCCAGCCAUUCCGCGUGAGUGAAGAAGGCCUUCGGGUUGUAAAGCUCUUUCGCAAGAGAAGAAAACUUGCUAUCUAAUAAAUAGUAAGCAUGACGGUAUCUUGACAAGAAGCACCGGCUAACUACGUGCCAGCAGCCGCGGUAAUACGUAGGGUGCAAGCGUUAAUCGGAAUUACUGGGCGUAAAGCGUGCGCAGGCAGUUUUAUAAGUCAGAUGUGAAAUCCCCGAGCUCAACUUGGGAACUGCGUUUGAAACUGUAAGACUAGAGUGUGUCAGAGGGGGGUAGAAUUCCAAGUGUAGCAGUGAAAUGCGCAGAGAUUUGGAGGAAUACCAAUGGCGAAGGCAGCCCCCUGGGAUAACACUGACGCUCAUGCACGAAAGCGUGGGGAGCAAACAGGAUUAGAUACCCUGGUAGUCCACGCCCUAAACGAUGUCUACUAGUUGUUGGUGGAGUAAAAUCCAUGAGUAACGCAGCUAACGCGUGAGGUAGACCGCCUGGGGAGUACGGUCGCAAGAUUAAAACUCAAAUGAAUUGACGGGGGCCCGCACAAGCGGUGGAUUAUGUGGAUUAAUUCGAUGCAACGCGAAAA
rnacentral:rRNA from 1 species